rnacentral:piRNA from 1 species
CAAAAACGAAGAUCUGAACGCGG